rnacentral:ribozyme from 1 species
GGUUGCAAAUUUGAGGCCAUAGCAGAAGCGCUCAUAACACAGCCUGUCAGAUUGUAAUGAAUCUGCAAAUUCUGCU